UCUCGCAUCCAAAUCUAAUUUGGUUUUGAUAAAAGGAAGGUUUUGAAAUUGGAUUUCAAAAUAUUCCUCAUCAAAAGAGUUUGUUCUUAUCCAAAUCACUCCACACACCAUCCCUUUUAUCCUCCUUCUUUUGUGUGACUUUUUGAGGGAAUUUUUUAUGUGAGAAUUUAGAUAAUGAUCUGAUUCACCAUGAAAAAUUAUGAAAGGGGACAUUCCAUAUUUAUUUUGGGAUGUGG
rnacentral:lncRNA from 1 species